rnacentral:tmRNA from 1 species
GGGGAUGAAAGGAUUUCGACGGGGAUUUUGAACCGUUAUAAGCGAGCAGAGGUGCGGUACCGCUUUAAAAAUCGCAAUUUUAAAAAUAACUGACAAUAAUAAAACAGUUUUAGCUGCUGCUUAAGUCAGCGGCCGUUCUUACCGGGAGUACCGCGACCCGGAUAAGAGCGUCACUUAGCGGUGCACGUGAACAAAUGAGAGUCCUGUAAUUUGUCACGGUUUAAAGGACUACCAAAGAUUAAAGCCUGUUUACCGGCGUUUUUCUGAGGGAAUUUCAAAAGAUAAACUACGCUCGUAGAAAGU